UACGAAGGGGGCGAGCGUUGUUCGGAAUUACUGGGCGUAAAGGGCGCGUAGGCGGCCGAUCAAGUCAGAUGUGAAAGUCCUGGGCUUAACCUGGGGACUGCAUUUGAUACUGAUUGGCUUGAAUUCGGGAGAGGAUAGCGGAAUUCCCAGUGUAGAGGUGAAAUUCGUAGAUAUUGGGAAGAACACCGGUGGCGAAGGCGGCUAUCUGGACCGACAUUGACGCGUGAGGCGCGAAAGCGUGGGGAGCAAACAGG
rnacentral:rRNA from 1 species